rnacentral:rRNA from 1 species
AACCUCCGCAAUGUGAGAAAUCGCGACGGGGGGAUCCCAAGUGCCAUUCUUAACGGGAUGGCUUUUCAUUAGUGUAAAGAGCUUUUGGAAUAAGGGCUGGGCAAGACCGGUGCCAGCCGCCGCGGUAACACCGGCAGCUCUAGUGGUAGCAGUUUUUAUUGGGCCUAAAGCGUCCGUAGCCGGUUUAAUAAGUCUCUGGUGAAAUCCUGUAGCUUAACUGUGGGAAUUGCUGGAGAUACUAUUAGACUUGAGACCGGGAGAGGUUAGAGGUACUCCCAGGGUAGAGGUGAAAUUCUGUAAUCCUGGGAGGACCGCCUGUUGCGAAGGCGUCUAACUGGAACGGUUCUGACGGUGAGGGACGAAAGUUGGGGGCGCGAACCGGAUUAGAUACCCGGGUAGUCCUAACUGUAAACGAUGCGGACUUGGUGUUGGGGUGGCUUUGAGCUGCUCCAGUGCCGAAGGGAGCUGUUAAGUCCGCCGCCUGGGAAGUACGGUCGCAAGACUGAAACUUAAAGGAAUU